GACAGAGGGUGCAAACGUUGUUCGGAAUUACUGGGCGUAAAGCGCGUGUAGGCUGCUCUGUGUGUCGGAUGUGAAAGCCCCGGGCUCAACCUGGGAAGUGCACUCGAAACUACAGAGCUGGAGUCUCGGAGAGGAUCGCGGAAUUCUCGGUGUAGAGGUGAAAUUCGUAGAUAUCGAGAGGAACACCGGUGGCGAAGGCGGCGAUCUGGACGAUGACUGACGCUGAGACGCGAAAGCGUGGGGAGCGAACAGG
rnacentral:rRNA from 1 species